rnacentral:tRNA from 1 species
GCGAGAAUAGCUCAGUGGUAGAGUGUGUGCUUAGCAUGCAUGAGGCCCUGGGUUCAAUCCCCAGUACCUCCA